rnacentral:tRNA from 1 species
GGGGCAUUCGGGUUAGAGUAGUACACUCAUAAUGUAUUGGUCCCAGGUUCGAGUCCUGGCGGGCCCA